rnacentral:rRNA from 1 species
UGGGGAAUUUUGGACAAUGGGCGAAAGCCUGAUCCAGCAAUGCCGCGUGUGUGAAGAAGGCCUUCGGGUUGUAAAGCACUUUUGUCCGGAAAGAAAUCCUUGGCUCUAAUACAGUCGGGGGAUGACGGUACCGGAAGAAUAAGCACCGGCUAACUACGUGCCAGCAGCCGCGGUAAUACGUAGGGUGCAAGCGUUAAUCGGAAUUACUGGGCGUAAAGCGUGCGCAGGCGGUUUGCUAAGACCGAUGUGAAAUCCCCGGGCUCAACCUGGGAACUGCAUUGGUGACUGGCAGGCUAGAGUAUGGCAGAGGGGGGUAGAAUUCCACGUGUAGCAGUGAAAUGCGUAGAGAUGUGGAGGAAUACCGAUGGCGAAGGCAGCCCCCUGGGCCAAUACUGACGCUCAUGCACGAAAAGCGUGGGGGAGCAAAACAGGAUUAGAUACCCUGGUAGUCCACGCCCUAAAACGAUGUCAACUAGUUGUUGGGGAUUCAUUUCCUUAGUAACGUAGCUAACGCGUGAAGUUGACCGCCUGGGGAGUACGGUCG